GGGGACCCUAAUUAUUUGGAAGCCCAGCAGGCGCAUUUCACGUCAUUAAACUCGCGGGCAUCACCGAGAGGCCGGCCCUGUGUCACCCGAGCUCUGAGGCUCUGAAAGGUCGGUGAUUUGGCCGCUCUGAGACCCCAACCCGCCAGAGACAGGCCUGGGAUUGCAGCCCCCUCCCCGCGCGCUCUCUCCAGCACCCGGCUGUCUGCCGAGAGGCGGCCGCUGCUCUCUGGCGCCCCCAACCGGCCGUGGAAGAAAUGGGGACCCGCAGACCCGGCGUUCCCGCCCCAGCGCGCAGGGAGAGAGCGGAGCUAGCCAGGGGGCCGCCAGAGUCAGGGUCCUCGGGCCGCGCCCUGCGCAGUGCUCCUGCGGCUCCAGGCUCCGGGCUCGGUCACCCCGGGCGGGAGCCAGUCAGCCUCGGACCCUCGCCCCACGCGGUCCUUUCCAGCCUCGGUGUUCCCGCCUCUGCCCUCGGGGCGACGCGCGGAGUGGCUGCAGCCGGAGCCCGUCGUCGCGGUGCAGGGACCGGCCUGGGAAGGGUGGACGGGAGACCCGCGCCCGAGUAAUGCUGCGGCCCAGCGAGUAAGGGGUGUCGCCUGCAGGUCACCCAGAGGACACCGGGAGGGGAAUUCCUGGGGUGGGAGUGAGGCGAGGUGGGUAAAGUGGAAGCAGGGGAGGCUAGACCUUGGGUAGGACGCACUGCGGCCUGACCUUCCAGGGCCGCCAACGGAGUGCGGGAGAAGAGGCGACCGCGCACAGGACCCCUCCGCACGCCUCCAGCCGGUUCCCCCUGCUCCCAGCGCUCCCAACCCCAGCGCUCCACGACCGCUGGACGCCCCGUCGGGUCCGGGUCUGGUAGAGAGGAAGGAGCCGCGCGGAGGCCGAGGGGGACGCGGGGGCUGGCGGGGACUGGCGCGGGGUCCGCGGCCGGGUCCCCGCACCGGACACGUCCCGCCGCCUUCCGGAGCUCUCCCAGAAGAUGUCGGGAGCUAUCUUCACGCCCCUGGAGGGCCUGGGUGCGCUGGACGCGGCGAGCGGCCACCCGCUGGUGUGCCCGCUGUGCCACGCACAGUUCGAGCGACCCUGCCUGUUGGACUGCUUCCACGACUUUUGCACCGGCUGCCUGCGCGGUCGCGCCACGGAUGGCCGCCUCGCCUGCCCGCUGUGCCAACACCAGACGGUGGUGAAGGGCCCCAGCGGGCUCCCUCCGGUGGAUCGGCUGCUGCAGUUCCUGGUGGACAGCUCGGGGGAUGGCUCGGAGGCCGUGCAUUGUGCCAACUGUGACCUGGAGUGCAACAAGCAGGAUGCAGAGACCACAUACUUCUGCAACACGUGUGGGCAGCCGCUGUGCGCGCGCUGCCGCGACGAAACGCACCGGGCACGCAUGUUCGCGCACCACGACAUCGUGGCUCUGGGCGAGCGCAGCCGCGACGUGCUCCAGAAGUGCAGUGAGUGCGGCGCACCGGGCAGGGGCCCGUGUGUCGGGGGCCGGUGGCCGGGAUGGCCGGAGCCGGACGGGGGCAGGCCUGCCCGGAGCCCUCACCGCUGCUCCCGCCGCAGCGCUGCACGCCGAGCCCUACAUCAUGUUCUCCACCGACAAGAAGUCGCUGCUGUGCAUCCGCUGCUUCCGGGACAUGCAGGGGGAGAGCCGAGCGCACUGCGUGGACCUCGAGUCAGCCUACAUGCAGGGCUGCGAGCGGCUGGAGCAGGCGGUGCUGGUGAGCGCGGGAGGGCCCGGCACCGGCACCGAGGGCGGGGGAUGGGCGCCCCCCGCUGGGCUGAGGCCGCCCUGUUCCCAGGCCGUGAAGGCCCUGCAGACGGCCACCCGGGAGGCCAUCGAACUGCUGCAGGCCAUGGUGGAGGAGGUGCGGCGCAGCGCCGCGGAGGAGGAGGCUGCCAUCCAUGCCCUCUUCGGCAGCAUGCAGACUGGCGGAGAAGAAAGCGCUGUUGCUGCAGGCUGUGCAGAGCCAAUACGAAGAGAAGGACAAAGCCUUCAAGGAGCAGCUCUCCCACCUGGCCACUCUGUUGCCCACCCUGCAGCUUGGCCAGUAAGGCUGAGUUCCUGGACCUGGGCUACGAGCUGAUGGAGAGGCUGCAGGCCAUCGUCACCCGUCCCCAGCACCUCCGGCCAGCGCAGGACAGCAAGAUCACUAGCGACCACCACGCGGAGUUUGCGCGCUGCCUGGAGCCGCUGCUGCUGCUGGGCCCACGGAUGGCAACAGGUGCUGGGGCCGGCACCAGCACGCUAGCAGCAGGCUCAGGCCCCAAGGUGCUGAUGGGGCCCAGCUGCCCUUCCCCAGCGGGAAGGAUGUUGGGGUCUCUGGUCCGAAAGCCCACGCCGCACCGGUCCAUCAGCACCAAGGUGCUGCUGACGGAGGGGGAGGACACGCCGUUCUCAGAGCACUGCCGCCACUAUGAGGACUCCUACCGGCGCCUGCAGGCAGAGAUUCAGAACCUGAAGGACCAGGUCCAAGAGCUGCACCGGGACCUCACCAAGCACCACUCGCUCAUCAAGGCGGAGAUCAUGGGAGACCUCCUGCACAAGUCCCUGCAGGUGGACGCGCAGAUUGCCUCCGAGUACGCUUCCCUGCAGGGGAUGAGAGCAGUCUUCCAGGAGAUUUGGGAGGAAUCCUACCAGCGGGUGGCUAACGAGCAGGAGAUUUACGAAGCCCAGCUCCAUGACCUUCUCCAGCUGAAGCAGGAGAAUGCCUACCUGACCACCAUCACCAAGCAGAUCACGCCCUACAUCCGCUCCAUUGCCAAGGUGAAAGAGCGGCUGGAGCCCAGAAGCUUGUGGAAUUUUCUCUGGUCCCAGGGUUCUGAAACUUCCCACUGGUGAGGGUCUACUUCCGUCCAUCAGAAAGAACCCGGUCUUUGCAGUCUGGAAGUUCACCUCCUUCAGUUUUGACACACAUCUUUUUGAACCAAGUUUUAGCAACUUUGAGGAAGAAGGAAAAUUAAAGUGUGUGCAACUGUAUGUUCACCCAAGCCACAAGUGAGCCUCCUGACUCGGGGACGUCAGACUCGGCACAGCUCUGCACAGUCCUGGUGGCGUCCGGGUCUACCCAGGAUGGGCUGCAGCGUCUCCUCAGCGGGCAUUCAAAGCCGUUCACUCCACACACUGCACAAUUCCAUUUAUAAAACCUCCGAACCAGACACACCUGCAUCAGCAGUUGAGAUGCUGAUGAUCCCUGGGGGCCUCUGGGUGGAGGUGACGUUCUGGGUCCUGCCUACCCAACUUAUUCAGGCUACGCACACGUACCAGCCUCGUUCUUAUCAAUGGUGCACAUUUCCUUCUGGGUGCUCUGCUUCAGUGCGAAAAUGGCUUCAAGUAAUGUGCUACUGGCUGCCUGGCUUUGUGGGGGAAAUGGCGCCUGUGAUCCGUUUUGGCAAAGCGCAAGCAGCUCAGGCUAGAGCCUGGCUCCUGGAGGUUCGAAGGGAGGAAGGAGGUUGCCUCCAUCCCUUUCCAGGGCCCCAUUUUCCAGGUGUCUGGUGCUGCCGCCUCUGCUUCCUCCCCUUGCACUGCGGGCAGCCCCACCCGCCCCGAGCCCGCUCCUGGGGCCGGUUGUCCUCAGGGGCCUCUGGCUGCAGCCCUCGGUCUCUCAGUAGUGCUCACGGCCGUCCUCACCACACUCCUCUCUUUCUUCCGAGGCAGCCCACACCUGUUUCCCUCCUGCCGCUCAGGCUGUCCCUUCUUAGGCUGUCUGGCCACUCUGCCACCUCUGCGCGGUGCCCAAGCGUCAGCUUUCCCCACGGCCCAGUCCUACGGCCUCUCCCCAUCCCACACCCUAUGCUUAAGUGGCUUCACCCAGUCCCAACUUUAAAAUCCCACUGUGACACAGACGACCUUCAAGCCCUCCCCAGCACAAGCCCUUCUGAGCUGCAGACCCCUCUCCAACGGCCCCUUCCUGGGGAUCUCCACUUGGACACAUCACAGGUGCCUCAGCUCCCCCAGUGACAGGACUCCAUAACCGUCCCCCCAACAGUGAGUGACACCACAGCAUCCAGAUGCCCCAGUGAGAAGGCCAGGGGCCUUCUGAUUCCUUUCCUUUCUUUUCCUCACCUCAUUUCCAACAACCCUGAGUCCUGCUGACAUGACUGUCUCAGGCCAUAGCUGUCCCCAUGGCUGCCCCAGGCCAAGCCACCGUCACUGACCAUCUCCGGCCCCUCUAGGGUGUUCCAUAGCCAGCGGUCUUAAAGCCUAGAGUUCCCAUCACUCUGGGCCUGACAGCCCUUUUGGGACCCUCCUUGUCCCCCUCCAACCAGACUAGCCCCUCACCACACUCCAGUCACAAUGGCCUUUCAGUUCCCCAGACAAGUCAGACGAGUUCCCCCUUCCCAUCCUCUGCCUGGACCGCUCUUACUUCAGACUGUCCGAGAACCUCUCCACACGGGUCCCUGCUGCCUGGCCCCGCGGCGCCUUCUUCCCAACCUCCGCAUGUCUCCUGACCACAACGCAGCUGUCCCGAGAACAGCCCCAGCCCUAGUCAGUAUCUGAGGACCAAAACCCUAGGCAGGCCCAUGAGUGUCUCGCUCAGUUGGGUUGUCUAGAGAGCUGCAGACAGGCUGCCUUCAAGCCUGCUGGGAGCUGUUUCUCU